rnacentral:rRNA from 1 species
UACGUAGGGGGCAAGCGUUGUCCGGAAUCAUUGGGCGUAAAGAGCGUGUAGGCGGCCAGAUAAGUCCGCUGUGAAAUCUCGAGGCUCAACUUCGAGCUGUCGGUGGAAACUGUCUGGCUAGAGUCCGGAAGAGGAGAAUGGAAUUCCUGGUGUAGCGGUGAGAUGCGCAGAUAUCAGGAAGAACACCCGUGGCGAAGGCAGUUCUCUGGGACGGUACUGACGCUGAGGAGCGAAAGCGUGGGUAGCAAACAGG